AGAAGCCGUAUGAGGCGCAAAGUCUCACGUACGGUUUUGAAGUCGAGUGAGGAGAGGCGAUCUUCUUCACUUAGACAAC
rnacentral:ribozyme from 1 species